rnacentral:rRNA from 1 species
UACGUAGGGUGCAAACGUUGCUCGGAAUCAUUGGGCGUAAAGCGCACGUAGGUGGUUUGUUAAGUCGGGUGUGAAAGCCCUGGGCUCAACCCAGGAAGUGCACUCGAAACUGGCAGACUUGAGUACUGAAGAGGGUCGCGGAAUUCCCGGUGUAGAGGUGAAAUUCGUAGAUAUCGGGAGGAACACCAGUGGCGAAGGCGGCGACCUGGGCAGAUACUGACACUGAGGUGCGAAAGCGUGGGGAGCAAACAGG